CCGUCACACAAGAACCCUGCGUGACUCCACGUAUGCAAGCUGGAGGCCUCUUGCUGACAGGGUAGCGUUUCCCAAAGACACGGGAGCUGAGCUGGUGAGUCAUUUCAACAGCCCUUACACUCUCCUCUGACCAGAGACCACAUGACAUAUUAAUCAGCUGCUUGAAAGGUAUACCUGGCAGGCAUGUUUCCUGCAGCCUGGAAGAUGCUGACCUCGUCAGCUUUGAAACAUCAAAGGGC
rnacentral:lncRNA from 1 species